UACGGAGGGUGCAAGCGUUAUCCGGAUUCACUGGGUUUAAAGGGUGCGUAGGUGGGUUGGUAAGUCAGUGGUGAAAUCUCCGAGCUUAACUUGGAAACUGCCAUUGAUACUAUCAGUCUUGAAUACCGUGGAGAUGAGCGGAAUAUGUCAUGUAGCGGUGAAAUGCUUAGAUAUGACAUAGAACACCAAUUGCGAAGGCAGCUCGUUACACGAAUAUUGACACUCAGGCACGAACGCGUGGGGAUCAAACAGG
rnacentral:rRNA from 1 species